UCAUAUAUAGUAUCUAAUAAUUUGUUUUGUUAUCGGUGAAUGAUUCUGGAAAAAGAGCUUUUGCUUUCUUCCCUCUUGAACAGUAAGGGCCCUUCUCACCUCCUACGAGUCGUCCGGCGGAAAAGACUUUAUGAAUGGAGUCAAAGAUGUUGAGGUCGAAGGAGGUCCAACCCGAGCUCGAACCUUCGUGUGAACCCACACCCACUAUGGAGUUAGAUCCACCGGAGGUGAGGCUAUGUCAUGCUAAAGGCACAGGAGAUGUUUUGGCCAUGAAGAAGUCAAAGAAGUAAAAGAUACUUAACCAAGGAUAGGUAUUGCAAUAAAAAAGUGAAAUUCAUAAAUCAUUAAUUCUUUUACAAGAUUUUCUCUGAUAGAGUUUUAAGAUCCAUACCAAUAAUGCUAAAACAAAAACUGUUAUUUAUUAAUAGUUUAAAGUAUGAAUUUGAUUUGUGCCUUCUAUUUUUCUUACUUCAUAUGAACAUCUAAACAUGUGCUUUCUUUUUUCCAUUGACAAGUAGAAAGUCCACCAGUUGUAACUGCAACUGUAGGACCUUGGCAAAAAGUAACAAUUUUUGUUUGACUUAUACUUUAUUGAGAUCCUUAGUAAGGGACUUGCUUGCUAAUUUUCUCAUAGCAUAAAUGUUUGUGUCGGUGCAUGAGCAAAGAGAAAAUAUAGAAUUUACAUCCUUGUGGUUUUAUCAUUUCUUAUGGAUAUUUUGUUAAUAAUUCAUGUGAUGAAAAAAUAGAAGUAAUCUUUAUAUGCAAUUUAGCUAUUACAGUUUGUAGUGAUACGAUGCUUGGGGUAUUAUGCCUGUUAUAUUUAGAAAAAAAAUGCAAAGGUAUCAUACUGUCAGCUACACUAGUGCAGUUAAUAAAAGUGCAAUAGGUGGACCAUCUACUAGCGAUGGCAGAAGAUCUGAUUCAUCUACUUUGCUGGCUAACUCGUGUCUUUCAUCUUGUUUCCAGGCUAUUAGAAAACAUCUUCGCCGCUGCUUGCUUUCUUCUUUCUUGAUUUGAUCUUUCCUCUGCCUGCUUUCAAUUAAUUAAUGUGUCUUAUUCUUCUUUGACGUUAAUUUUUUUAUUACUAAUUCUCUUCAAAGUUCUUAUAAAAAUUUCAUGUGUCAUCUUUUCUUAA